rnacentral:sRNA from 12 species
GGACCACCCAGUGAGGUUAAGGCCAUACGGACAGCCGGGUCCACUGCCGA